rnacentral:rRNA from 1 species
UACGGAGGGAGCUAGCGUUGUUCGGAAUCACUGGGCGUAAAGCGCACGUAGGCGGCUUUGUAAGUUAGAGGUGAAAUCCCGGGGCUCAACCCCGGAACUGCCUUUGAUACUGGGUAUCUGGAGUCCGGAAGAGGUGAGUGGAAUUCCGAGUGUAGAGGUGAAAUUCGUAGAUAUUCGGAGGAACACCAGUGGCGAAGGCGGCUCACUGGUCCGGUACUGACGCUGAGGUGCGAAAGCGUGGGGAGCAAACAGGAUUAGAAACCCGGGUAGU